CAUGCAAGUCGAGGGGCAGCAUUUCAGUUUGCUUGCAAACUGGAGAUGGCGACCGGCGCACGGGUGAGUAACACGUAUCCAACCUGCCGAUAACUCGGGGAUAGCCUUUCGAAAGAAAGAUUAAUACCCGAUGGUAUAAUCAGACCGCAUGGUCUUAUUAUUAAAGAAUUUCGGUUAUCGAUGGGGAUGCGUUCCAUUAGGCAGUUGGUGAGGUAACGGCUCACCAAACCUUCGAUGGAUAGGGGUUCUGAGAGGAAGGUCCCCCACAUUGGAACUGAGACACGGUCCAAACUCCUACGGGAGGCAGCAGUGAGGAAUAUUGGUCAAUGGGCGCAGGCCUGAACCAGCCAAGUAGCGUGAAGGAUGACUGCCCUAUGGGUUGUAAACUUCUUUUAUAUGGGAAUAAAGUUUUCCACGUGUGGAAUUUUGUAUGUACCAUAUGAAUAAGGAUCGGCUAACUCCGUGCCAGCAGCCGCGGUAAUACGGAGGAUCCGAGCGUUAUCCGGAUUUAUUNGGGUUUAAAAGGGAGCGUAGGUGGACAGUUAAGUCAGUUGUGAAAGUUUGCGGCUCAACCGUAAAAUUGCAGUUGAUACUGGCUGUCUUGAGUACAGUAGAGGUGGGCGGAAUUCGUGGUGUAGCGGUGAAAUGCUUAGAUAUCACGAAGAACUCCGAUUGCGAAGGCAGCUCACUGGACUGCAACUGACACUGAUGCUCGAAAGUGUGGGUAUCAAACAGGAUUAGAUACCCUGGUAGUCCACACAGUAAACGAUGAAUACUCGCUGUUUGCGAUAUACAGUAAGCGGCCAAGCGAAAGCAUUAAGUAUUCCACCUGGGGAGUACGCCGGCAACGGUGAAACUCAAAGGAAUUGACGGGGGCCCGCACAAGCGGAGGAACAUGUGGUUUAAUUCGAUGAUACGCGAGGAACCUUACCCGGGCUUAAAUUGCAUUUGAAUAAUCUGGAAACAGGUUAGCCGCAAGGCAAAUGUGAAGGUGCUGCAUGGUUGUCGUCAGCUCGUGCCGUGAGGUGUCGGCUUAAGUGCCAUAACGAGCGCAACCCUUAUCUUUAGUUACUAACAGGUCAUGCUGAGGACUCUAGAGAGACUGCCGUCGUAAGAUGUGAGGAAGGUGGGGAUGACGUCAAAUCAGCACGGCCCUUACGUCCGGGGCUACACACGUGUUACAAUGGGGGGUACAGAAGGCAGCUACCUGGUGACAGGAUGCUAAUCCCAAAAGCCUCUCUCAGUUCGGAUCGAAGUCUGCAACCCGACUUCGUGAAGCUGGAUUCGCUAGUAAUCGCGCAUCAGCCAUGGCGCGGUGAAUACGUUCCCGGGCCUUGUAAAACGCCGCCCGUCAAGCCAUGAAAGCCGGGGGUACCUGAAGUACGUACCGCA
rnacentral:rRNA from 1 species